rnacentral:misc_RNA from 1 species
UCCGGUUUAUCACCGGCAGUCUCCACAGAGUCCUCGGCUUUCACCCUUCUACUACCUGCAUGUCCAGCCUGGGUAAGGUUCUUCGCGUUGCGUCGAAUUAAACCACAUGCUCCACCGCUUGUGCGGGCCCCCGUCAAUUCCUUUGAGUUUCAACCUUGCGGCCGUACUUCCCAGGCGGGAUACUUACUGCGUUAGCUGCGGCACCGGCGGUAACCCGCCGACACUUAGUAUCCAUCGUUUAAGGCGUGGACUAC